GAGAGCACAGUAAGAUGAAAGUUAUAAGCUGUGUUUAGGGGGGAGUUAUUAUCUAUCAUUGGCCUCUAUGGUAGAAUUAGUUGGGGGACCUGAGAGGCGGUAGUUUACCCUGC
rnacentral:ncRNA from 1 species